rnacentral:misc_RNA from 1 species
AACACAAUUAACACCACCUGGAUGAUUCAUUACAAGUCAAAUGUUCACAACCAUCCAUGCAUCUAUGCUCAAAAUAAAAAGUAAUCUAACAACAACAGUAUUGACAACAUAUCAUUUCGUACAAUUUAAGCUCUAAAAGUUGCACAGAUAUGAUAAGAAAAGAACUUCUUGAUAGUAACCUGCAAUCUAUUCUCAGAGGAAGGAACAAAGGGAUACAAUAACAAUGAGAUGCCAAUACUAUAUGCUGUAAGUACAACUUAUCUACAAAUUCCCUCAAGUACGACAAGCUAUUUAGAAACAAGUUACGUAACCAUCCAUGACUUUAAUAGCACUAAAGUAAGAAACUAAUUAGCAAUACCAUCCUCCUAUUGCAUGCAUCAUUAAAAAAUCUUUUUGUCUUGAAGAAACUUCACGCUUUGCCAGAUAAAUGUUCAUCGCCAUCUUUUAACUUCUCUUCUGGGACAUCAGUUGGCAAU